GAUCCUGGCUCAGGAUGAACGCUGGCGGCGUGCCUAACACAUGCAAGUCGAGCGAAGCACUUUGCUUAGAUUCUUCGGAUGAAGAGGAUUGUGACUGGGCGGCGGACGGGUGAGUAACGCGUGGGUAACCUGCCUCGUACAGGGGGAUAACAGUUAGAAAUGACUGCUAAUACCGCAUAAGACCACAGCACCGCAUGGUGCGGGGGUAAAAACUCCGGUGGUAUGAGAUGGACCCGCGU
rnacentral:rRNA from 1 species